GGGAUGGGAAAGAGAAAAGGCAUCUAAAAGUGGCAAAGAGAUGAAGCUAUGACAUAGGAUGCUGUGUUGGGUGAUGAAGAGAAAAUGGACAGUGAAGAAACCUUUGUCCGAUUCACUCAAUCAUAGCCAAAGGUUGUGGAAGGUGAAAAAAUAAUGAAAAGGAGGAUGAAGAGGCCUGAUUUUGGAUUUGGGUUUUUCUCUCUUUGUUCCUAUGCAAGCAAAAGCCUUUGUUUUACCUUUCAACAUGAGCAAACAAAGAUCUUACUCC
rnacentral:misc_RNA from 1 species